rnacentral:rRNA from 1 species
UGGGGAAUAUUGCACAAUGGGGGAAACCCUGAUGCAGCGACGCCGCGUGAGCGAUGAAGGCUUUCGAGUCGUAAAGCUCUGUCCUAUGAGAAGAUAAUGACGGUAUCAUAGGAGGAAGCCCUGGCUAAAUACGUGCCAGCAGCCGCGGUAAUACGUAUGGGGCGAGCGUUGUCCGGAAUUAUUGGGCGUAAAGGGUACGUAGGCGGUUUUUUAAGUCAGGUGUCAAAGCGUGGAGCUUAACUCCAUUAAGCACUUGAAACUGAAAGACUUGAGUGAAGGAGAGGAAAGUGGAAUUCCUAGUGUAGCGGUGAAAUGCGUAGAUAUUAGGAGGAAUACCGGUGGCGAAGGCGACUUUCUGGACUUUUACUGACGCUCAGGUACGAAAGCGUGGGGAGCAAACAGG